GUACACGCUGUGACUAGCAUAUCAAUAAGCGGAGGAAAAGAAACUAACAAGGAUUCCCUCAGUAACGGCGAGUGAAGCGGGAAGAGCUCAAAUUUGAAAUCUUGAAAGGUCUACCUUGCACGAAUUGUAGUUUAAAGAAGUGUUUUCUGUGACGAUCUGGUAUAUAAGUUCUUUGGAAUAGGACAUCACAGAGGGUGAGAAUCCCGUAUUUGACCAUUAUUUUCAGCUUUGUGAUACACUUUCAAAGAGUCGGAUUGUUUGGGAAUGCAGUCCAAAAUGGGUGGUAAAUUUCAUCUAAAGCUAAAUAUUGGCGAGAGACCGAUAGCGAACAAGUACCGUGAGGGAAAGAUGAAAAGAACUUUGAAAAGAGAGUUAAAUAGUACGUGAAAUUGUCAAAAGGGAAGCGUUUAACACCAGUGUUGUUUUCUGAAAAUCAACCUCUGUUAGCUUUAUGCAUGUUUGUUUAGACCUAAUCAGCUAUCUUGCAUGUUCUAUUGUUUGCAGUGGUGCACUUUUCAGUUUACAGGUCAACAUCAGUUUUUUUUACCGUAAAAAAGUUAAAGAAAGGUAGCUCAUGGCUCCGGUCGUGAGUGUUAUAGUCUUUUUCCUAUGCGGUAGGAGAGACUGAGGUCUGCAGUGUAGGCUAUUUGGCUAGAUACUCAGGUGCUAUGUGAUACCAUUUCAUAAACAACUUGUUGAUUAUGUUUUGUCUAUUGCAUACUCGCUUGUACUAUCAUACCUACGCUUAGGAUGUUGAGUAGCGACAUACGCAC
rnacentral:rRNA from 1 species